AUUGAACGCUGGCGGCAGGCCUAACACAUGCAAGUCGAACGAGUGGCGGACGGGUGAGUAAUGUCUGGGAAACUGCCCGAUGGAGGGGGAUAACUACUGGAAACGGUAGCUAAUACCGCAUACCAUCGGAUGUGCCCAGAUGGGAUUAGCUAGUAGGGGGGGUAACGUCUCACCUAGGCGACGAUCCCUAGCUGGUCUGAGAGGAUGACCAUCCACACUGGAACUGAGAGAAGGUCCAGACUCAUACGGUAGGCAGCAGUGGGGAAUAUUGCACAAGGGGCGAAAGCCUUAUGCAGACAUGCCGCGUGUAUGAAGAAGGCCUUCGGGGUGUAAAGUACGUUCAGCGAGGAGGCGUUACUCGCAGAAGAAGCACCGGCUAACUCCGUGCCAGCAGCCGCGGUAAUUC
rnacentral:rRNA from 1 species